GGAUCCAGACUUUGAUCAUGGCUCAGGAUGAACGCUAGCUACAGGCUUAACACAUGCAAGUCGAGGGGAAACGACAUCGAAAGCUUGCUUUUGAUGGGCGUCGACCGGCGCACGGGUGAGUAACGCGUAUCCAACCUGCCCACCACUUGGGGAUAACCUUGCGAAAGUAAGACUAAUACCCAAUGACGUCCCUAGAAGACAUCUGAAAGAGAUUAAAGAUUUAUCGGUGAUGGAUGGGGAUGCGUCUGAUUAGCUUGUUGGCGGGGUAACGGCCCACCAAGGCAACGAUCAGUAGGGGUUCUGAGAGGAAGGUCCCCCACAUUGGAACUGAGACACGGUCCAAACUCCUACGGGAGGCAGCAGUGAGGAAUAUUGGUCAAUGGACGAGAGUCUGAACCAGCCAAGUAGCGUGCAGGAUGACGGCCCUAUGGGUUGUAAACUGCUUUUAUAAGGGAAUAAAGUGAGUCUCGUGAGACUUUUUGCAUGUACCUUAUGAAUAAGGACUGGCUAAUUCCGUGCCAGCAGCCGCGGUAAUACGGAAGGUCCGGGCGUUAUCCGGAUUUAUUGGGUUUAAAGGGAGCGUAGGCCGGAGAUUAAGCGUGUUGUGAAAUGUAGACGCUCAACGUCUGCACUGCAGCGCGAACUGGUUUCCUUGAGUACGCACAAAGUGGGCGGAAUUCGUGGUGUAGCGGUGAAAUGCUUAGAUAUCACGAAGAACUCCGAUUGCGAAGGCAGCUCACUGGAGCGCAACUGACGCUGAAGCUCGAAAGUGCGGGUAUCGAACAGGAUUAGAUACCCUGGUAGUCCGCACGGUAAACGAUGGAUGCCCGCUGUUGGUCUGAAUAGGUCAGCGGCCAAGCGAAAGCAUUAAGCAUCCCACCUGGGGAGUACGCCGGCAACGGUGCAACUCA
rnacentral:rRNA from 1 species